rnacentral:rRNA from 1 species
ACACAUGCAAGUCGAACGGUAACAGGUCUUCGGAUGCUGACGAGUGGCGAACGGGUGAGUAAUACAUCGGAACGUGCCUAGUAGUGGGGGAUAACUACUCGAAAGAGUGGCUAAUACCGCAUGAGAUCUACGGAUGAAAGCAGGGGAUCGCAAGACCUUGUGCUACUAGAGCGGCCGAUGGCAGAUUAGGUAGUUGGUGGGAUAAAAGCUUACCAAGCCGACGAUCUGUAGCUGGUCUGAGAGGACGAUCAGCCACACUGGGACUGAGACACGGCCCAGACUCCUACGGGAGGCAGCAGUGGGGAAUUUUGGACAAUGGGCGCAAGCCUGAUCCAGCAAUGCCGCGUGCAGGAUGAAGGCCUUCGGGUUGUAAACUGCUUUUGUACGGAACGAAAAGCCCUGGGUUAAUACCCUGGGGUCAUGACGGUACCGUAAGAAUAAGCACCGGCUAACUACGUGCCAGCAGCCGCGGUAAUACGUAGGGUGCGAGCGUUAAUCGGAAUUACUGGGCGUAAAGCGUGCGCAGGCGGUUUUGUAAGACAGAGGUGA